AAACCCGGAAAUGACAUAAGGAUCUGGGACAAGUCCCGCUUCCCUAUGUCCACCAGUCUCCGAGCGGCACCGUCGCCAGGUCAUUACCCCCCCCAGGGGGAAUGACCAGAACCAAUGACACCCCUUCCCCGCAAGCAAGAGAACCAGACCACAGGUCUUGUAUGGAUAAGUCUUGAAGGACACUGGGUCCUGACCAUCCCGGACAUCCGCAAAUAGAAUCCUCCCCUACCGGCUGACCAGUUUGAAAUGAAGAAACAACGAGGCAUACCUCUGGGAGCACCUGGCACAAUUGUGCCCAUAAGGGCCACAAAACCGUCCUCUUUGGAUCCACAGAAAUCGACCCCUGCACGGGCCCUACACCGCAUGCCAUACCAGAAACUCCAUGUUGACCGCCACCCAACCCUGGGACUUAACCAGAAAACUAAACUGGACAUGCGCAAGGACACCCCGGAGGGCGACAUAUCCACCGAAACCCAACACUCCAGCAGUCACAACAGACCUUGUAACGAGCAGGCGUCCACCAAAAACACCCACCUCUGACUCCCGCGUCUGCCAUUCCACCCAUACUCUGGAGUACCUUGGCCCAAGAGUAACCGAACCUAUAUGACACAUGAAGACACGGGCACCGGAGCACCAGGCGCUGGAGCAGGAGAAGUACCAAAAGAGAAAAGGGGGACCGAGAGCUGGCUAAUCGCCUGGACAACCCCGAGGUUGGCACGGUGAAUAACAACCGACUGUCCUGUAGCUCCC